GCUUGUCUCAAAGAUUAAGCCAUGCAUGUCUAAGUAUAAACAACUUUAUACUGUAAAACUGCGAACGGCUCAUUAUAUCAGCAAUAAUUUAUUUGAUGGUUUCUUACCCCAUGGAUAACUGUGGUAAUUCUAGAGCUAAUACAUGCGUAAAGUCCCGACUCUUUCUGGGGAGGGAUGUAUUUAUUAGAUAAAAAGCCAAUACACCCUCUGGGUGGUUUGUGGUGAUUCAUAAUAACUGAUCGAAUCGCAUGGCCUCGUGCUGGCGAUAGUUCAUUCAAAUUUCUGCCCUAUCAGCUUUCGACGGUAGUGUAGUGGACUACCGUGGCAUUAACGGGUGACGGAGAAUUAGGGUUCGAUUCCGGAGAGGGAGCCUGAGAAAUGGCUACCACAUCCAAGGAAGGCAGCAGG
rnacentral:rRNA from 1 species